UUCUUAUUAAGAGAGGUGGAGGGACUGGCCCUUCGAAGCCUCAGCAACCUAAUGUGAUAUAAAGGUGCUAAAUCCUGUAGGAUAUAAAAGUCCUAAUAGAUAAGAA
rnacentral:ncRNA from 24 species